rnacentral:rRNA from 1 species
CGGAAAACUGGGGAUAAUACCGGAUAUAUGGAGAUGCCUGGAAUGCACUGUGAUCCAAAGCUUUUGUGCCUAAGGAUGAGUCUGCGGUCUAUCAGGUUGUAGUGGGUGUAACGUACCUACUAGCCUACGACGGAUACGGGUUGUGGGAGCAAGAGCCCGGAGAUGGAUUCUGAGACAUGAAUCCAGGCCCUACGGGGCGCAGCAGGCGCGAAAACUUUACAAUGCAGGAAACUGCGAUAAGGGGACACCGAGUGCUAGCAUCCUAUGUUGGCUGUCCGCAUGUUUAAAUCACAUGUGUUAGCAAGGGCCGGGCAAGACCGGUGCCAGCCGCCGCGGUAAUA